UCGAGGGGUAUAAGGAGCUUGCUCCUUAGAGACCGGCGCACGGGUGCGUAACGCGUAUGCAAUCUACCUUUUACAGGGGAAUAGCCCAGAGAAAUUUGGAUUAAUGCCCCAUAGUAUAUUUGAAUGGCAUCAUUUGAUUAUUAAAGUCACAACGGUAAAAGAUGAGCAUGCGUCCCAUUAGUUAGUUGGUAAGGUAACGGCUUACCAAGACGAUGAUGGGUAGGGGUCCUGAGAGGGAGAUCCCCCACACUGGUACUGAGACACGGACCAGACUCCUACGGGAGGCAGCAGUGAGGAAUAUUGGUCAAUGGGCGCAAGCCUGAACCAGCCAUGCCGCGUGCAGGAUGACGGUCCUAUGGAUUGUAAACUGCUUUUAUACAGGAAGAAACACUCCCUCGUGAGGGAGCUUGACGGUACUGUAGGAAUAAGGAUCGGCUAACUCCGUGCCAGCAGCCGCGGUAAUACGGAGGAUCCAAGCGUUAUCCGGAAUCAUUGGGUUUAAAGGGUCCGUAGGCGGCCCAGUAAGUCAGUGGUGAAAUCUCCCGGCUCAACCGGGAAAUUGCCAUUGAUACUGCUGGGCUUGAAUUAUCAGGAAGUAACUAGAAUAUGUAGUGU
rnacentral:rRNA from 1 species